rfam:Schistosoma rodhaini strain Burundi genome assembly, scaffold: SROB_scaffold0003123
AUCCUGCUGAUUAGUCCUAAAUAGGACGAAAUGCGCGUCAUGGAU